GGAAGUAAAAGUCGUAACAAGGUUUCCGUAGGUGAACCUGCGGAAGGAUCAUUAUAGAAUUAUAAGCGAGGGUUGUCGCUGGUCCCCUCGGGGGCAUGUGCACGCCUGAGCUCUUAAAUCCACAACACACCUGUGAACCCACCGUGGGCCCUGCAAGGGGCUUGCCUCUAUAUACUCUGCAUGUCUCGUAGAAUGUCAAAUUGUUUGCCUUAAAAACGCAAUCAAAUACAACUUUCAACAACGGAUCUCUUGGCUCUCGCAUCGAUGAAGAACGCAGCGAAAUGCGAUAAGUAAUGUGAAUUGCAGAUUUUCAGUGAAUCAUCGAAUCUUUGAACGCACCUUGCGCUCCUUGGUAUUCCGAGGAGCAUGCCUGUUUGAGUGUCAUUCAAAUCAUCAACCCCGUCGAUCUUUGAUCGGUCGGAGGCUUGGACUUUGGAGCGUGCUGGCCCU
rnacentral:misc_RNA from 1 species